UAAGCCCCGGGCGAUGUGUGGUGGGAAUUCUAGUGAUGAGAUGGUGGGGAAGUAACAUGUGGCAACACAUGUUGAUAUUUAGAAGAUGGGUGUUGAGCUUCUGCCCUGGCAUAGUUACUUUUGAGAUUCAGCCGCAUCGUUGAGCCGAACCCUAGUGGCAAUGUCGAAGGAAUUGCUCUUGGAUUUGCUGGGUACAGAGGAACUUGGGCUCAUUGAUUGUGUGUACAUCCUAAAAUAACUACAUUCCUCAGACGAUGCCCCCGAGAUCACUCUCCGACAUCCAUUUUUCCCCAUGCGUUUUUACUUUGCUAGACGUUCUCUAGGAGACUGUACCAUGCUGUUAUCGGCAACGCCUUCAUGAGAAUUACUUUGAGAACCAGCCUCUCAUCUAAGAGCUGCGCCGCAUUGCUCAACCUAAACAUCAUUUCUCAAAGCGAGAAGUCAUGCUGUCCAGGGCAAAAGAAGCCGAGAUUCUAAGCAGCGAGGGAAAUGGCGUGGGCCGAGUAAGUAGGACCGGUGAACGAUGCAGAAGGCAUAUUCUAUCGACGCACUGAAUUGACGAGGCAGCAGAACAGUAAUUUGCGGGGAGAAAGAGAUAGCAUCCCAUCGUUACGGUAAAUUGUCCAUGGUCUUCAACAAGAGAAAAUGUCGGGCCAAAUUUAGAAAAUUCGGUGCAGGUGGGCAAUGGA
rnacentral:lncRNA from 1 species